rnacentral:lncRNA from 1 species
CUGGAACUGAGUGCCUGAACAUGGAAUUUUUCAGGACCUCUGGUGUUCUCAUCAAUCUCUUUAAGAGCACAGCAACAAAACCACCCCGAGGAAAGCUGGAGACAUACCAUGCUGAGGAGCAAUACUGGCUAAUGCUCCUAAAUGUGCAAUAGCUUAUAGAUGAAAAGUGAAUUAUGCCACAGUACAAUACAUCUUCUUUUCUGAAACGUUGUUUUAUUAUAGUCCUUGCUGGACACAUACAUCUUAACAGAUGGCACACUACCUCUUUUGUGUUUCCUGUCCAUGUUGCCUUGGUGCUCUUCAUAACACAAGGUGCUUGUGGCCUUAGCAGAGAUUAUUUGAGUCCCUUUUUAUCUUUCAGACUGUAUGUGCUGGUUACAUCAGGAUAUGUUUCUGUUGUAAAGGUGCUUAUUUUGAAUCGUUGGUCACGUACUUUACUACAAUGAAAACAUUAUUUAUGUGGAUUUGUUUAAAAUAUUUUUGUGUACUGUUGUGGAAAUGGUAUAUGAGACAGCACAUUGUAUACGAUACAUAUAGUCAGAACAGUUAGCUUUACAGCCAUUGUAAAAAAUGUUGUAGAAGAGCUACCUACAGUAGUUCUGAGGUUUAGAUUCUGUAUUUCAGUUAACAUUUCUAAUGCCAAAGGCAUCUUAAGAUGAUAUAUUGUGUAUAUAUUUUGUAACUUCUGAAAAAAUCUACAACAUGUCUUCUGAAUGGCUGCUCCUAAAUUAUAAUCAUCAUUUCAUCCACCUAGAAAUUCCAUUUUUCACAAAUUUAUUAGAUCUUUUUGGUUUUUGUUUUUUAGUUUUGGUUUGUGUUUUGGGUUUUUUUGUUUUUUGUUUGUUUGUUUGGUUUGGUUUGGGUUUUUUUUUUCUUUUCUUUUUUGGGGGGUUUUGAUUUUGGUUUUUUUAUUAAAGAAAGUCUAAAAAGUUCAAUCAUCUUUUUUAUUAAAUAAAAAAAAAACAAUUUUACCGUUAGGGAAAGCACUCGUAAUGAUAGGCCUCUAUCUAUUAUCAAUCCAAAGUGUACUCAGUAGCACAUGGCAAGGUGGUACCAGGCUAUCCUGGGGAGCACAGGAGCAUUCAAACAACUUGUUUAACUGUCUUGAUCCACAGGAAACCACACUUACCAAAGUAUAAUAAAAUAA